CACGGAGGGUGCAAGCGUUAUUCGGAAUUAUUGGGCGUAAAGGGCGCGUAGGCGGCCGAACAGGUCAGGUGUGAAAGCCCGGGGCUUAACCCCGGAGUGCAUUUGUAAACCUUUAGGUCUUGAGUAUGGGAGAGGAGAGCGGAAUUCCUGGUGUAGAGGUGAAAUUCGUAGAUAUCAGGAGGAACACCGGUGGCGAAGGCGGCUCUCUGGACCAAUACUGACGCUGAGGCGCGAAGGCGUGGGUAGCAAACAGGAUUAGAACCUACCGUAG
rnacentral:rRNA from 1 species